rnacentral:lncRNA from 1 species
CUCAAACUCAGAAAUCCGCCUGCCUCUGCCUCCCAAGUGCUGGGAUUAAAAGCCUGGCAGCAAAGUGCUAAGAAUACAUUGAGUGUUCAGCCUUAAGUAAAACAUCUGUAUCACCUGCUCCAAGACUUUGGAACAUUGCAGAAGAAGAGAGAGAAAUGAUGUAAGAGCCAGAGGACAGGACAGACUUGUGUGAAACACUGUCUUCUGAACGUGAAAGAGGAACUUCUCGUUCAAACCACCACAAGUCCAAAGCAACAAGGCCCAACAACCAUGAACUGACAACUUUAAGACUGUGAAACAAAAAUAAGCACCCCUGCCUUUCGUACUGACUGUUUCAGGUAUUUUAUCACAGAAUCAGAAAGCAAAUACAAUUAAUC